UAGAAACAGUGACUAUGUACAUACAGUAGGCCAGCAGGCUCUAAGGUGCAGGCUAGAGUACAGGGUGGUAGCCGGGCUAGAAACAGUGACUAUGUACAUACAGUAGGCCAGCAGGCUCUAAGGUGCAGGCUAGAGUACAGGGUGGUAGCCGGGCUAGAAACAGUGACUAUGUACAUACAGUAGGCCAGCAGGCUCUAAGGUGCAGGCUAGAGUACAGGGUGGUAGCCGGGCUAGAAACAGUGACUAUGUACAUACAGUAGGCCAGCAGGCUCUAAGGUGCAGGCUAGAGUACAGGGUGGUAGCCGGCUAGAAACAGUGACUAUGUACAUACAGUAGGCCAGCAGGCUCUAAGGUGCAGGCUAGAGUACAGGGUGGUAGCCGGGCUAGAAACAGUGACUAUGUACAUACAGUAGGCCAGCAGGCUCUAAGGUGCAGGCUAGAGUACAGGGUGGUAGCCGGGCUAGAAACAGUGACUAUGUACAUACAGUAGGCCAGCAGGCUCUAAGGUGCAGGCUAGAGUACAGGGUGGUAGCCGGGCUAGAAACAGUGACUAUGUACAUACAGUAGGCCAGCAGGCUCUAAGGUGCAGGCUAGAGUACAGGGUGGUAGCCGGCUAGAAACAGUGACUAUGUACAUACAGUAGGCCAGCAGGCUCUAAGGUGCAGGCUAGAGUACAGGGUGGUAGCCGGGCUAGAAACAGUGACUAUGUACAUACAGUAGGCCAGCAGGCUCUAAGGUGCAGGCUAGAGUACAGGGUGGUAGCCGGGCUAGAAACAGUGACUAUGUACAUACAGUAGGCCAGCAGGCUCUAAGGUGCAGGCUAGAGUACAGGGUGGUAGCCGGGCUAGAAACAGUGACUAUGUACAUACAGUAGGCCAGCAGGCUCUAAGGUGCAGGCUAGAGUACAGGGUGGUAGCCGGGCUAGAAACAGUGACUAUGUACAUACAGUAGGCCAGCAGGCUCUAAGGUGCAGGCUAGAGUACAGGGUGGUAGCCGGGCUAGAAACAGUGACUAUGUACAUACAGUAGGCCAGCAGGCUCUAAGGUGCAGGCUAGAGUACAGGGUGGUAGCCGGGCUAGAAACAGUGACUAUGUACAUACAGUAGGCCAGCAGGCUCUAAGGUGCAGGCUAGAGUACAGGGUGGUAGCCGGGCUAGAAACAGUGACUAUGUACAUACAGUAGGCCAGCAGGCUCUAAGGUGCAGGCUAGAGUACAGGGUGGUAGCCGGCUAGAAACAGUGACUAUGUACAUACAGUAGGCCAGCAGGCUCUAAGGUGCAGGCUAGAGUACAGGGUGGUAGCCGGCUAGAAACAGUGACUAUGUACAUACAGUAGGCCAGCAGGCUCUAAGGUGCAGGCUAGAGUACAGGGUGGUAGCCGGCUAGAAACAGUGACUAUGUACAUACAGUAGGCCAGCAGGCUCUAAGGUGCAGGCUAGAGUACAGGGUGGUAGCCGGCUAGAAACAGUGACUAGGUUCAGGGCAGGCUACUGGGCAGAGGCCGGCUAGGGGUGACUAUUUAACAAUCUGAUGGUCUGGAGAUAGAAGCUGUUUUUCUGUUAUUCCCCCCUGUUUUCAAUUUAUUUUUUGACAUGGUAAUACAAUGUGGUCUGGUGCCUAUGCUACAUCUGUAGUCAAACUUGAGUAUUUACAAAUGCCUUCCCUGUUUGACAAAAGCAAUACAUUUAAAAAAAGUUGUAUUGUCACACACCAGAUCGGUGCAGUGAAAGGUGUUGUUUUAUAGCCAUCGUAGUAAGGCACCCCUGGAGCAAGUUAGGAUUACGUGCCUUGCUCAAAGGCACAUAGACAGAUGUUUUCACCUUGUCAGCUCGGGUAUUCAACAAGGGACCUUUCGGUUACUGGCCCAAGACUCCACCCUAUAGGGAGGCCUCAUACAAAACGAUGAUGUU